ensembl:snRNA U6 U6 spliceosomal RNA
AUGCUUGCUUUGGCAACCUGCAUAUUAAAAUUGGAAUCACAGAGAAGUUUAAUGUGGCUCCUGCACAAGGAUGACCUUCACAUUCACGAAGCAUUCCCUAUCAUA